rnacentral:rRNA from 1 species
GACGAACCGUGCGAACGUUGUUCGGAAUCACUGGGCUUAAAGGGCGCGUAGGCGGGCUGUCAAGUCUGGGGUGAAAUCCCACGGCUCAACCGUAGAACUGCCUCGGAUACUGACGGCCUCGAGGGAGGUAGGGGCGUGCGGAACUGUGGGUGGAGCGGUGAAAUGCGUUGAUAUCCACAGGAACUCCGGUGGCGAAGGCGGCACGCUGGGACGGUACUGACGCUGAGACGCGAAAGCGUGGGGAGCAAACAGG